GACGUAGGUGGCGAACAUUAUCCGGAAUUAUUGGGCGUAAAGGGUGCGUAGAUGGCAUGAUAAGUUAGCAGUGGUAAAUCGAGGCUCAACCUCGUGGAAGCUGGUAAUACUGUUUUGCUUGAGUGCAGGAGAGGUUAACGGAACUCCAUGUGGAGCGGUAAAAUGCAUAGAUAUAUGGAAGAACAUCAAUAACGGCGAAGGCAGUUAACUAUUCUGUUACUGACAUUGAGGCACGAAAGCGUGGGGAGCAAAACGG
rnacentral:rRNA from 1 species